CACGUACACCUGACACAGCCUGCACUUCUCCUCCUCUCGUCCCACAGCCGCCACCCCCAACCCUCCGUCCUCUGUCUCAAUCUCUCGAUCCCCAACCACCACCGCCGCCAUCCUCCGUCCUCUCCCCCAACCCCGGCCGCCAGCGACCCCUCCCCUCCCCUUCUCUCCCACGGCCGCGGUCGGAUCCGCGCUCCCUCCUCGCUCGUGACCUAGACCUAGCCGCAUGGCACGGUCAUGGCCAUGGCGGCGGCCAGAUCCACCCCCUCCCCUGAUCCGUUCCCUUGACGCCCGGCGGUCCUUCUCCCUUAGGCCACCCGCCCCCUUCUUCCUCCCGCAGCAGCACACCCGCAGCCUUCCCCGUGGCUCUAGGGUUUUGGGGGCGGCGGCGCCUCCAUUGCCGGCACGGCUCCGACGACUCUACAGGCUCCUCCCGGACAUCUACCGCGCUGAGACAGCCGCGUCUCCGACUUGCCGCUUCCCCAAUGCCUGCUACUAGACCCAAUCCCUCCUUGUUGCCUGGAUGCUUCCUCGACUCUCCCUUCUCCCCAACAAGGCCGCCGUCGGACACCUUCUUCCCCGACAGCGCCGGCCGCAGAUCCACUCCUCCAUUUUCUUCUCACGGUUGUCCGCAGCAUAUAUGACUCAGAUCUGAUGUUUUUGUUGUGUGUCUGGUUUUUCAGGAUGUGGGUGGUGCAGUGGCCGCAAGAACACGCUCGGCAGCGUCUAGGCCGGGUCGACUAGGGCGGCCGACAGCGGUGGCUACUUCCUUACAAGGAAUACAAGCUCGCCCAUGACCCUCCAGGUCCCGUCUGCAUGCCCGCUCCCUCCUCUAGGUGACUAGUGAUGCGGCGCGCCAAGCAGCAGUAGGGGAAGGGGGUCUCCUAAUCAAGGAGGCGGAGGAGUAGGAGCGUGCCCAGCCGGCAACCCUGUCCUGCUCGUGGGGGAGGGGCAGGAGGGGUCUGCUCCUCUGCUUCCAUUGCGACCGCGGCAGGUAGCUCCUCCAUCUCCCUCCCCCUCUUCAUGUGCUCACUACUUCUGCUGCUAAGUUGACGAAUAUGUGAUGCAUUUGUCCCAAGGAAUUUUAGAGGGACCUGUAUGAACAAGUCAUGUUUUUAUUUUAUUUUAUUUAGGUUGUUAGUUACCAAACAGAGAGAGAAGAUGAGCUCCUGCUUGGAUUUUUUUCUGCCAGCACAUGAUUUGUAUGUAUGCAAUCAUCAUCUUGCGUGUGCGAGCUGGUUCCUUGCUUGGGCAUCGCGUCGAUGACCAAGUGUUAGUGCCGAUUUGUUGUGGUGGUGCUCAUCUAGCCAUUGAUUUCUUGCUGAUAA